AAUAAAGAGAAUAUGAUGUUAGUUCAGACUAAAUACUAUAUAGAGACAUUACACAUGCAAAUCAAACGACGAAAUAUAUAUAAAUAUAAAUUAUAUUAGUUAUGUGGUGUAUUCGUGAGUAACAGAUAGAAUAAGAAUUAAUAAUUCAAUGAAAUAUUGAAUAAUAAAUAAAGAUAUUAUAAAUUUUAAUAAAAUUUAAAUAUUGUUAUUAAUCAAGCUAUUUAUAGUAUAGGUAUUAUGUAGGAUAAAAGCCAUACAUAGCCAACAAUCUAUAGCAAUUAAUAAGCGUUAUAAUUGCCACGUCGAAAAUGAAAGAUAAUCGAUAUCUAUAAGAUACAGCAGUGAGGAAUAUUGGGCAAUGAUCUAACGAUUGACCCAGUUAUCUAUAAUAAUGAAAUUCAAUUAAUAAAAUAUAUUAAUUUAUAAAAAAUUUAAAAGAAUUAAUUGGUAAAAAAUAAAGUUAUAGGAAAGUGAAAAUAAUGAUAGUAACUUCAAAUAAAUUUUGAUAUUUUAUAUUAAUAUGAAAUAUUCUGAUAGUUCCAACUAAGAUAUGUGCCAGCAGUUGCGGUUAGACAUAGGGAGCGAGUAUUAGUCAUAUUGGUUUAAAGGAUCCGUAGAAUUUAUAUAUAUAAAGAUAUAUAGAGUUAAUAAAAGUAAUAAAUGAAUUAUAAAAGUAAUGAUGAAAUAUUAUAAUAUUUAUAGGACAGACAAGUUCGAAAGUUUUUAUUAUAUAUUAACUGACAUUGAGGGAUGAAGGCUAUAGUAAUGACAUGGAUUCGAUACCCAAUUAAUUAUAGCAGUAAACUAUGAGUACAAAUUAUAACGUUUUUAACGUAAUAGUUAAGAGAAAUCAAUAGUAUUCCACCAGGAGAGUAUAGUAAUUAAAACCCAAUACAAUAGACGGUUAUAAUCAAUAGCAGUGGAGUAUGUUAUUUAAUUCGAUAAUCCGCGAAAAACUUACCACAUUUUGAAUAAUUAAUUAUUAAUUAAUUAAUAACAGGCGUUACAUAGUUGUCUUCAGUUCGUGCUGUGAAGUUUAAGGUUAGUUCCAUUAACGAACGAAUCCCUGUAUAAAUAAAUUUUUAUGACAAAAUAUUUAUAAUUUACUAUUUAGAUGCAUAGUAAAAAUAGGAUUAAGACAAAUCAUUAUGACCCUAAUAAUGUGGGCUAUAGACGUACUAUAAAAAAAGAAAAAAAAUUUAAGGAGAUGUAUAAAAAAAGAUCAAAUAAUUAAUAAAACAACUUUUAUGAUGUUAUAUAUUAAUAUAUAAUAUUAAUAUGGAUUAUUUUCUGUAAUUCGGAAAUAUGAAAAAAGAAUUGCUAGUAAUCAGUUAUUAAUCAAAUAACGGUGAAUAUUAUUAAUUGUUUCGCACUAAUUACUCGUCACGCGAUAAGUUUAAAAUAAUUCCAAAAAUAAUUACAUUAAUAUUUAUUUUAUUAAUAUUUAUUAAUAUUUUACCCCUUUUUUUAGAGGUAAAACUAUAAUAUUAUUAAUAUAUUAUUUAAUAAUAAUUUUAAUAUUAUUGCGAAGUCGAAAUACAGUUACUGUAGGGGAACCUGCAGUGGGCUAUAUAUUAUC
rnacentral:ncRNA from 1 species